GAUGAAGAACGCAGCGAAAUGCGAUAAGUAAUGUGAAUUGCAGAAUUCAGUGAAUCAUCGAAUCUUUGAACGCACAUUGCGCCCGCCAGUAUUCUGGCGGGCAUGCCUGUCUGAGCGUCAUUUCAACCCUCAUGCCCCUAGGGCGUGGUGUUGGGGAUCGGCCAAAGCCCGCGAGGGACGGCCGGCCCCUAAAUCUAGUGGCGGACCCGUCGUGGCCUCCUCUGCGAAGUAGUGAUAUUCCGCAUCGGAGAGCGAUGAGCCCCUGCCGUUAAACCCCCAACUUUCCAAGGUUGACCUCAGAUCAGGUAGGAAUACCCGCUGAACUUAAGCAUAUCAAUAAGCGGAUGA
rnacentral:misc_RNA from 1 species